rnacentral:rRNA from 1 species
GGGUUGUGAGGUUAAGCGACUAAGCGUACACGGUGGAUGCCCUGGCAGUCAGAGGCGAUGAAGGACGUGCUAAUCUGCGAUAAGCGUCGGUAAGGUGAUAUGAACCAUUAUAACCGGCGAUUUCCGAAUGGGGAAACCCAGUGUGAUUCGUCACACUAUCAUUAACUGAAUCCAUAGGUUAAUGAGGCGAACCGGGGGAACUGAAACAUCUAAGUACCCCGAGGAAAAGAAAUCAACCGAGAUUCCCCCAGUAGCGGCGAGCGAACGGGGAGCAGCCCAGAGCCUGAAUCAGUGUGUGUGUUAGUGGAAGCGUCUGGAAAGGCGUGCGAUACAGGGUGACAGCCCCGUACACAAAAAUGCACAUAUUGUGAGCUCGAUGAGUAGGGCGGGACACGUGGUAUCCUGUCUGAAUAUGGGGGGACCAUCCUCCAAGGCUAAAUACUCCUGACUGACCGAUAGUGAACCAGUACCGUGAGGGAAAGGCGAAAAGAACCCCGGCGAGGGGAGUGAAAAAGAACCUGAAACCGUGUACGUACAAGCAGUGGGAGCACGCUUAGGCGUGUGACUGCGUACCUUUUGUAUAAUGGGUCAGCGACUUAUAUUCUGUAGCAAGGUUAACCGAAUAGGGGAGCCGAAGGGAAACCGAGUCUUAACUGGGCGUUAAGUUGCAGGGUAUAGACCCGAAACCCGGUGAUCUAGCCAUGGGCAGGUUGAAGGUUGGGUAACACUAACUGGAGGACCGAACCGACUAAUGUUGAAAAAUUAGCGGAUGACUUGUGGCUGGGGGUGAAAGGCCAAUCAAACCGGGAGAUAGCUGGUUCUCCCCGAAAGCUAUUUAGGUAGCGCCUCGUGAAUUCAUCUCCGGGGGUAGAGCACUGUUUCGGCAAGGGGGUCAUCCCGACUUACCAACCCGAUGCAAACUGCGAAUACCGGAGAAUGUUAUCACGGGAGACACACGGCGGGUGCUAACGUCCGUCGUGAAGAGGGAAACAACCC